CACUUCUGGCUCAGCUCAGGAUGGUCAUUCCUGGUGUGAUAGUGCUCACACAAAAGCCUGCUUGGACAGUCACGGCUGAUGUCUUUGUGGCAUGAAGUUCAAAUUGGUCUUGUAGCCAUAUGGGACUGGUGAUGGAGCUGAGUUGGACAUGAAGAACUGCACAAGUUUUCUGCAAAGUGAAAGGGAUGGAGAAGGGAGAGCAACCCACUGCAUAGAGGAUGAGUGUGUGUAGACGUACCCAGGCUGGAAGCAAUUGUCUAAGCAGCUCUUACCAGUGGUGAGAAUCAGUUCCCUCAUCUGAUCUGGUGUAUGUGACCACAGUCUCAGGCUGAAUCAGACAGAAGCAGUCUCCGCCAGCCAAGAAACCAGCAAAAAUAUUUCACAAUGGAUGUAGAUGAUGAAGAAAACAUGAGUUCGAGCAGCACCGAUGUUAAAGAAAAUCGCAACGUGGACAACGUUCCCCCCAAGGACGGUGGUGGGCAAGGCACUGGGGAGGGGACACAGCUCUCCAACGGUGGUAGCAGCAGCAGCAGAAAGCGUCCUUUGGAGGAGGGCAACUCCAAAUUUCGCCUGAAGAAGAGGAAGAAAACACCUGGCCCUGUUCUGCCAAAGAAUGCCCUGAUGCAACUUAAUGAGAUUAAGCCUGGUUUACAGUACAAACUCCUCUCCCAGACAGGGCCGGUCCAUGCCCCCAUGUUCGUGAUGGCAGUCGAAGUCAACGGGCAGGUAUUUGAGGGAUCUGGCCCAACAAAAAAGAAAGCCAAGCUUCACGCCGCUGAGAAGGCUCUGCGGUCUUUUGUCCAGUUCCCAAAUGCCUCGGAAGCCCACCUGGCAAUGGGGAGGACUCUGUCAGUCAACACAGAUUUCACUUCUGACCAAGCAGACUUCCCUGACACCCUUUUCAACGGGUUUGAAACACCAGUCCCUUCUGAUGCUUCCUUUUACCUAGGGUCCAACGGGGAUGGGUCCUUUAGCUCUAGUGGGGACUACGGUUUGCCGUCGUCUGCUGUAGCCAGCAGCCUUUCCCAGUCGCCUCUCCCUGCACCAUUGCCCUACCCCUCCGCCAGCGGGAAGAAUCCUGUCAUGAUCCUCAAUGAGCUGCGGCCAGGGCUGAAAUACGAGUUUCUCUCGGAGAGUGGGGAGAGCCAUGCCAAAAACUUUGUCAUGGCGGUGGCAGUGGACGGUCAGACUUUUGAAGGCUCAGGAAGGAAUAAAAAGCUGGCAAAAGCUCGGGCCGCUCAGUCAGCCCUGGCAUCCUUGUUUAACAUGCAGCUGGACCAGACCCCAUCUCGACAGCCCAUUCCCAGCGAGGGGCUUCAGUUACACUUGCCACAGGUUUUAGCUGAUGCUGUUGCACGCUUGGUUGUAGAUAAAUUCAGUGAUUUGACAGAAAAUUUCACUUCUCCACAUGCACGUAGAAAAGUCCUCGCUGGAAUUGUCAUGACAACAGGUACAGAUGUGAAAGAUGCCCUGGUAAUAAGUGUUUCUACAGGAACAAAAUGCAUCAAUGGUGAAUACAUGAGCGAUCGUGGUCUUGCAUUAAAUGAUUGCCAUGCGGAAAUUAUAUCUCGCCGGUGCCUGCUUAAAUUUCUGUAUACACAACUUGAGCUUUAUCUAAGCAAUAAAGAUGACCAACAAAAAUCCAUUUUUAUCAAAUCGGAGCGAGGCGGGUUUAAGCUGAAGGAGAAUGUGCAGUUUCAUCUCUAUAUCAGCACGUCUCCUUGUGGGGAUGCUAGGAUUUUCUCACCACACGAAGCAGCACAAGAGGAUCAAGGGGACAGGCAUCCAAACCGCAAAGCGAGAGGACAGCUACGGACAAAAAUUGAAUCUGGGGAAGGGACCAUCCCUGUGCGCUCUACUACCACUAUCCAGACGUGGGAUGGCGUACUGCAAGGAGAAAGGCUACUUACCAUGUCCUGCAGUGACAAGAUAGCGAGGUGGAACGUAUUGGGUAUUCAAGGAGCCUUACUUAGCCUCUUUGUGGAGCCAAUUUACUUCUCUAGCAUCAUCUUGGGGAGUUUAUAUCAUGGGGAUCAUCUAUCCAGAGCCGUAUACCAGAGGAUAGCAGAGAUAGAAGAUCUACCACCUCUUUAUACGCUCAACAGACCUUUACUUAGUGGUAUUAGCAAUGCAGAAGCUCGUCAACCAGGGAAAGCACCAAACUUCAGUGUGAACUGGACAGUAGGAGACACUGGUCUUGAAGUUAUUAAUGCUACAACCGGCAAAGAUGAAAUGGGUCGUGCAUCUCGCCUUUGUAAACAUGCUUUUUACAGCCGCUGGAUGCGUAUUCAUGCAAAGCUUUUCUCCAGCUUGCGCUCAAAGAUCCUCAAACCUAACCUGUACCACGAAACCAAACAAGGAGCCACUGAGUAUCAAACUGCCAAAGAGUGUUUGUUUAAAGCAUUCCUGAAGGCAGGACUUGGAGCCUGGGUGGAGAAGCCUAUAGAACAGGAUCAGUUUUCUCUCACGGUCUAAUUCAGAGACUGCACAUCACUUUGGAAAGGGGGUUGUUUGGAAAUUCCUAGUGUCCAGCAUUGCUUUCUGGCAUCUCCACUGCCAUCAAAACAUCUUUUUACUGUUUGGAGUUGGGUUUUUUCCUGUUUUUUUGAAACUUCAUAGUAACUGUUUCUGUUUUGUCUAAGUAUUGAAACUCAAUGAUGAUUUGACACAUAAUUGUAUAUUUUGUUAUGGGAAAGUAAUUUCUGGUAUAUUUCUAGAAAUACUUUUACUUUAGAAAACUUGCAGUAAGGCUGUCCUUACAGUAUAAAAUGACUCAUUUUUUCUGGGUUAAAAUAAUUUCUUUUUUUAAUUUGAUGUCAUCAAGUACAUGAAGAAAUGAAAGUUUCUUUAGGUUUUACACCACACUUUUAGGAAGUAGCUUAAUUUUUUUAAAAGAAAAUAGGUGACGAAGCUGAUUCUACUCCUCUGUUAACUGGUUUUUGAACUGCAGAUAUUUCUAGCAUGUAGACCACAGAGCCAGAAUGGAGUCUAGACAGCUAGUUUUUCCCCACUUCCUUGCUCUUUAAAACCAGCUGCUGAAAAUUUCAUGUCUUUGAUGUAUGUAUUUAUUAGUCUGUGACCCAGUUUUUAACAUGCAGCUUUUUAUUCUGUUUUUAAAAAUACAUUUACCUCCCAUUUACACACAUUGUGAAGUCUUCAUUUUUUUACCAUUGUAAACUGGAAACAGCAAAAUAAUUACUUGUAAGUUAAGAAGUUUAGUCUAUAAUGUGCAGAAACACGUUUAGAAGUAGGUGAUUUGUAUAUCCCAGGAACUCAUCAGAAUACAAUCAUAACUCUAACAGUAAUAUGCCAACUUAAAAAAAAAAAAAAAAAAAAAAAAAAAAAAAAAAAAAAAAAAAAAUCACUCACUUUAAGGGCACUAAGCCUGAAUUGCCAAAACCAGUCACUUGCUAGGCAUUAGUUGCUCUCCUCUUGAAGAAAUGAAAAGCCCUAGUAUGGACAAGAAGUUGUUAAAACUUCUUUCCUAUGAGUUAGAUCUGCUUUCACCGAAGUUGUUGUGUCUCUGAGAUUUCAUUGCCUUUUGGCUUUACAAGUGUGAUGGUCUUCGUGAAGCUAAUUAGGUAUCACCUGUGCUUUCUGAAGAGCACCUUCAUGUUCCUUUUGCAAAUGGUGAAGGUGAUGCUUUGUGACACGGGAGUUCACCUGACAAAACCAACUUGCUGCACCACUGCUCCAGUUGUUGGUUCCUGUUCCUCCACUUCACCACCCUUUGCCUGUGCUGCAUGGGACAUCAGAUCAGCAGGCUGGUCCAUGCUUUGAAGUCAAGUCAAGUAUUACUUUUAGACCCACAUUGGGUCAGGGAUCCAGUUUAGAUUUGUGCCAGUGAAUCCGCGGAGGCAGUGGAUUGGAGCAUGGGUCCCUUCAUCCAGCUUCAUGGCCAAAAAGCCUGUAUAUCAUGAAGCUGUAACGAGCUACCGUACCUCAGCCCCAGCAUCUCCGGGGGGGGUAGUGAAUACUUAGGGUGUUGGAGACUUUGAUGGAAAACCACUUCUGGCUAAUCAUGAAUGCCAACGAGAUACACUGCUUCAUUACUGCUCAAGUAGGAACCCAUUUUCAAAUUCAAAAAAUGAUCAAGCCUGAAAAUCACUUGUGCAUUAGUUGAAGCCUCUGGGUUAAUGUCUUGGAAGUAGUGCAUUGAGGUACAAACAAUGCAUCUUUGGCAGUAUUAUGGAUACUAGCAAGUGCUGCUGUGGGAAGGUGAGCAAUUCUGUGGCCUAGUGAUCCCCUCGGAAAAGACUGUGAUGCUUCCAGAGGCUACUGCCUUUUCCAGAUGCCAGAGGAAGAAAUGUUGCAAGCUGCAAUAGACAGGCUGAGUUAAUUCAGCUUUGUUGGCAACUUAAGCCAUCCUGUCCACUUCUCGUUAAAACCUAGAGUGCUACCAUGGCCUCUGCCAGCCCGACAAGGCUUUUGCAGUCAUCAUCUGACUGAAGCUUAGACUGACCUAUUCUAAAACUAAAAGGAAUUGAAUUGUAUGUGGUCAGAUUUUGCAAGCAGUCGGGCAUCUGCCUUUGAGAUCAACAUUGUCUCGUUCACAUUGCAGAAAUUCUUUUGUGGCUGUAGUUGAAUACAUGCAUAUGUUUUUGCAGUAUCAAGGGAAAGCUUGUUGCACUGUGUGCAUUUUCUUGAGAUCAUUACUGCUAUUAGAUGAAAUGCACAUUUUUGAGGGGCUCAGUCUAUUGAUAAAUGAAAUCUGAUGAUAAUUCCCAGCAAGUCAUUUUUACCCAUCUUUCUGAAGUGCGCAUUCAAAAGUUGGUGUCUGGACUUUUUUGACGACUAGGAAAGUAUUAGCUCAAAUUAUUUUUUUUUUUAAUGAAGUCACAAAUAUGAGCAAUAUAUUUAAGUAUUAUUAUAGACAUAGUUUUUUAAGCUGCUCAAAUGAAUUAUUAAAAUUAAACUGUAAAGGAAAUAUGUUCCAUGCCAAAACCUUUUGACAAAGGAACGGUGUCAGGUUAUUUAUGAGGAAUGAGUUCUCUUGUUUAUAGUUCUGGGAUUUUAAAAAGUAAGAAGUUUUCCAGGGUUGUAUGCAAUCCAUAUCUGUCUUCUGGGAGUCAAUAAAAUACUGUGUGGCUUCCUUCACUUGCUUGUUCCUUUUUGUGCACUUAAUAUGUGGAAAGAAGUUGGGAGGCAGAGUUGUGAUGGCUGAUGCUCACCAUCACGGAGCAAGAAUGGAUAGCAAUGUAUAUGAUUUUGAGUGACUGCAAAAGAUAAGACAACUCAGCUUCUGGCAGCUGCUGAAUUUUGUGGCUGACCUUUCUGUUGGAAGCUGUGAGUCUCCCCAGUGGGUUGGGAGGCUGAGUGGUCUUGUCUGAAAAGCCUGGGCUGGAUGGCUGGGUGCUGGCCUGCACAGAGACUUGCAAUGCUGCUCUGAGAGCUGCUUCAGUCAUUUUAAAUUUUUUUUUUCUUAUUUUUGAUUGAAUAUGAGUGUUUGUCUCAGGAUCUUCAAAGGAGUUACAACUUUAAUGUUGAUGAAUACUUGAAAUCUAAUUUAAGGUGUUUUUCUCCAGAUGACAGUCUAGCUAUAAGAAAGUUUGUAGGUUAGUAAAAAAGAUAAUUUUAAAUAUAGAUGUUUGAAAUAUGUAUGUUCUGCAGGAUCAUUUUAAGAAAAUAUGGGCCUAAAGGUUAGCACUUGAAAUAUUGGUUAUGGCUGUACUCAGGACCUGGUAAUAACUAUAGAUUAUUUCUUACUGCUUGUGUGUGAAGCGUAUUGUGUGUAGGAGCUUGUUAGCAACUGUUCUUCCUCAGCCGUGUGGAUGUCCAUGUAGUGCUCAUGCUCACAGCCCCCACUCACCCUCGUGCAGCUAGUGAUGGUAACUGUGAUUCUGCAUACUUCGGAAUGUACAGCAAUGGGGGUUUCUGUACAGCUGGCAAUUUUGAUCUUCUCAUCUUAGAGAAAUCUUGAAAAGAUUACUGGUUACUGAACAGGAAACUCAGGAGCAGAUUUUUUUGUGUGCUGUUACUCUGUAUGUCGUCUAAAUCUAAAAUAACUUGCAGCUGAAAGUCUAAGGGUCUCGGAGCUGGUGUUGCAUGUCAGUCCAGUUCUGUGAUGUCUAAGAGUGCCGCCAAUGCAAGGAAAGAAAAUAAAUCUCAUCCUGCUCUCUCAGUGAAAAUGUGCAUGACAUAAAGCUGUUGGUUCAGGGUGCUUGGUAGCAUGAAUCAGAGCAUGCGUCUUAUGGAAGGGUAGCACUUUGAAACCAAGCUGUCUUUUUAAAAAAUAACCAACCAGGAAUUUAGAAUCAACUCUUAAGAAUUGCUUGGCUGUGGUCACCACAUAAUUGAGGUUUGUUGUUUUGGUUUUUUUUUUAAAUAUCAAUAGUUUUUUAAAUAGUGAAGAUUAUUAUUGCCAUCCCUUAAAUUAGGCUUUAAUGCUUGGGAGGCUCACGCUUGCAGUGAAGCUGCACUUUGAAUUCGUUGCUUUUUUAUCAUCAUAAAAUGUCCACUGUGAAAAUUAUCCCAAAGUUUACUGAAAUAGAAGAGCUGCAAUUCAGGUAUACAGUCAGAACAAAAAUGUCUAAUGUUACAUAAAACCUAAGAACCCACAGAAAUAAAAUGUGUAAGAUAUAAUUAUCCCUGUCUCAGAAUUGCCAUGUGUUUUUUAUUUUGGGGUUUUUUUCUAAUGCCAAGUAAUUUCAGUUGAGUUUAAAAGAUUGCAUCUUUGCUUAGUGUGCUCCUGUUUGGAGAGGAGUUGGCAUUUAUCCCAGGGUUACCUUGAGCUAACAGAGCCACAGGUUUUGAAAGGGACAGGAAAUGGAUUUUUGGAAGGGACACCGGACUCAGUGCUGUGAGACUGGGAGGGAGUGGUGCGGGGGCAGGUCCCCACUGCAGCCCUGUGCAGUGGCCUGGGCUUGGUCCCUGUCCUGCUGGUGGCUCAGUGGAGACUGCUGGUGGCUCAGUCUGAUAUGCUACAGAUAUUGCUGAGUCAGCAUCUGACUGAAGCAGGAGGAGGAGGAGAGAGAAGUUGCUGCUCUCUCUAGUUCCUAAAGCAGAAAUCAUGGCAUAGGAUGGGAUUUUUGCUCCCUCCUACUCUCUGCUGGAGAGGCCCUUAGGCAGGAGAUGAAGAGCAUGGGCCAAAUGAGUUGGCUGCUUGGCAGCAGGUGCUUCCCAGCCACUGCCUUUCCCAGAGAUGUCCCAGCACAGGCGGGCCCCCGCUGUGUGCAUAUCUGAGGCUUUUAGGGUGCAUUGGGCUUGCUGCCACUCCUUUAUCGAAACAACUGGUCCAAACUAUUUAAAAUAGUUUGGGGUUGACCCCUGAGGAAGAAGGUUGUGUGGGUGUCUGUGGGCAGGCAGGUUGGUUAUUUACAGCCGCAGAAUGCAUGGUGUUUCAUCACUAGGCAGGUGGUAUGCGUCCCUAAAACACACCCAGGCGGAUAAAACUAAGGCCCCUAAGUAUAUCCGCUAUCAAUGCAUGCCUAAGCUGUUACAGUGCUUCUGACAAAACCUCUUUUCUUGUUUCUGUUGAGCUGGUUGUGGUAGGAAUGAUGCAAACCUACGGGGGCUGCAAAAAAUGAGCUGUGGCUGCAAUCCUAAACCUGUCAGAGCUGGUGGAGAGCUGAUAGGACCCGAGUUUCUCCUUGGAUCGUGUUUAUGUAUUGUGUUUUCAGAACCUUUGCAGCCAAAGGUCUGUCCUGUUGCCCAUUAAUAAACAGGCAGUUAAUUGUGCCAAUGGCAUUGCAUGUGCAGGAUUGAGUUUUAUGGGUAACUACGUUUUGUUUUCUUCAGUUGUUCCAGAAAAGAGGAAUUAAGAGCCGUGUUUGCUGUCAGUACCAAGGGCAGCUGGCCUCGCAGGUGUAACAGUUUAAAGAAUUUCUGUUCUCUGGAGGGAAAGAUCCACAGUCAAGGUCCCUGCAGUGUUUUUUACAUUUUUUAAUAUCUUCAUUGUUAUCAUACCAAUAUAAUUUUUGUUGUCGUUUGGCUGAGACUUCUUUAAGAAAUUUAACAUCAAAUGUGUGUGUGAAUAUAUAUUUAUACGUAUAUAUAUAUUGCUGUAUAUUAUUUGCAUUAAGCAGUUAUUCUUCCCCAGUCUUCCUGUGUGAUAGUGUGAAUACAUUAGCUUUACCUACCUGAUGUAAGGAUAUUAAAGAACACUCUCAGAUUCUGUCCUCAA